rnacentral:tRNA from 1 species
GGAGAGAUGGCCGAGUGGUUUAAGGCGGCAGACUCGAAAUCUGUUGUGCCGCGUUUGCGGUACCGGGGGUUCAAAUCCCUCUCUCUCCGCCA